UUGUAUGGUUCCAASGUAGAUUUCAUAGAUUUUUCUCUGUAGAGUUAUUCAGAUCCUUAUAUAGAUAUAAUUCUUCGAUUAACCAUUGUCUUGACCGUAUCUCCCAUGGGUAUUAUAUAUUAUAUAUCCAUACCCGGACCCAUAGGCGUCUUUGCUCUCGUUCGCAAUGGCAAGGAUUUUUCUUAUCGACGAUCUUAGUGGCGUUUUAAAAAGAAUACGAUAGGUUGCUGUAACAUCUUCUUGUGCAUGUACGAUAGGCUAUAAACCGCAAUAACAAAAGAAACUAUCUUACAAGGUGCAAUAUGCUUGGAUGUAAACACAAGGGAGUUGAAUGUAUAAGAUGAAUCAAGAUGAAGAUGAUUCUGGAUUGGCUGAAGCAGGACAAGCUUCUCUUUAUUUACAAUUCUAUCACCACAAUGAUAUGGCCUUUUUUCUAUAUUUAAAAUUUGAAAACUAAUUAAAAAAUUAAAGC